ensembl:lncRNA
GACUAAUCAUUAUACUUUACAAAAAAAAAUAAGAAAUAAAAUAAAUAAUAAAAUAAUUAGAGGUGUCUGCGAGGUGCCUGCGCGGUGCCUUCGAGGUGUCUGCGAGGUGCCGGCGCGGUGUCUGCGCGGUGCCUGCGAGGUUUCUGCGUGGUGUCUGCGUGGUGCCUGCGAGGUUUCUGCGUGGUGUCUGCGUGGUGCCUGCGAGGUUUCUGCGUGGUGCCUGCGAGGUUUCUGCGUGGUGCCUGCGAGGUGUCUGCGUGGUGCCUGCGCGGUGUCUGCGUGGUGUCUGCGUGGUGCCUGCG